ACUCUUCAUUAUCAAAACCAAAAGAACUUACAUUCAGAUUGCAACCUAUAGAACCCUAAACCCUUCUUCUUCUUCCAACCUCCUCCAGAUUGUAUCUUGCUCCGUCUGACUCAGACCGUUCUAGAUGUUGUCUUGAUGAUCGCUCUCUCUCAAGGGUAAGUUAGCUUCCUUUAUUAUUGUGCUGAAAUUUCAUCUGAUCUCGGGUCUCUUCCAGUGGUCUUCUAUCGUUUGAAGAAGUAGUCGUGUCUCGUCCCGGACAUCUGUUACCCGCUUCGUCGUCCCAUUCGUUGCUGUUAUAGUGGAAAUACAUGAGACAUGGCGUAGAAAGGCUGUUUGGAACCACCGGGUGAAAGACUUUCAUUUGCUAACAGGAAUUCCAGUUACAAGUCCCAUUAUAUCCCUAAUAGUUGGUAGUGAAGACGAAUCACUGCAAGCAAGUCGUUACUUACAAUUCCAGUAUAUGCUACCAAAAAGUGCAACAAAGCAGAGAAGUAAGUCAUGCAAAAAUACCAAAAACUAGAAGAAAAAACAAGUGUUUCUAUGUGAAUCCAAAAUGCACUUGUGGAAAAUUUGGUUGUGCAUGAUACAAAUGUUCAUCAAAGAUAUUAACAGCACAAGGCCCUGAAGCAGAACUCCAUCCAUGGUGAUUGGAUUGAUCAAACCCUUGUUUAGGUGCUUCAUUAAUGUUACCAUUCACAUUAUAAUCUACUUGGUUUUCAUGUGGAUUAUUAUUAUUAAUCCCUGUAGUUGGUUGGAGCUUCACAUCAUUCAUUAUGUUGAAAUUGUUUGGAAUGUAUGGAAAUUGUCCAUUGAAUUGUAGCCUUACUGGUGCUGUAUUGCUCAUGUCACUAAGGACACAAUUUUCUUGACCAGAAUUUGAAAUAUUGUUUGUUUUUGUGCUUGAGCCAAGGUAACUUGCAUAACUCCCAAAAGAUGAACUUGUUGAGCCUUCUACAUCUCUAUCAUUGAAAGUAAUAAGCUUGAUAAGUAGAGUUAGAGACAACAAUUCAAUGUAUAUAUCUAUGAAAUUAAUUUAUUUGCUAGGUUGGUGUAAAAUAUUUUUACACA